rnacentral:rRNA from 1 species
AGCAGCCGCGGUAAUUCCAGCUCCAAUAGCGUAUAUUAAAGUUGUUGCAGUUAAAAAGCUCGUAGUUGAAUUUCGGGAUCAAUAUGUUGGUCGUGCCUCGGUACGUACUAGCAUAUUGGUUUCUCCUUUCUGAAGAACCAUGAUGUCAUUUAUUUGGUGUCGUGGGGAAUCAGGACUGUUACUUUGAAAAAUUAGAGUGUUUAAAGCAGGCUCACGCUUGAAUACAUUAGCAUGGAAUAAUGAAAUAGGACGUUUGAUUCUAUUUUGUUGGUUUCUAGGAUCGACGUAAUGAUUAAUAGGGAUAGUUGGGGGCAUUAGUAUUCAAUUGUCAGAGGUGAAAUUCUUGGAUUUAUUGAAGACUAACUACUGCGAAAGCAUUUGCCAAGGAUGUUUUCAUUAAUCAAGAACGAAAGUUAGGGGAUCGAAGACGAUCAGAUACCGUCGUAGUCUUAACCAUAAACUAUGCCGACUA